UCGGCCCCGGGCCCGAAUGGCCUCCCAGUUAAAUUCUUCUAGUCCUUCUAGAAUGUGAUCAAGCCUGAGAUCAUGGCCAUCUUCGACGAGUUCUACGUGGGAUCCAUCGACCUUGGGCGCCUCAACUAUGGGAUCAUCUCGCUCGUCCCCAAGGUGCCUGGGGCGUCUGACAUUCGUCAGUUUCGCCCGAUCACGGGGACUAAUGUGAUCUUCUGGAUUCUGUCAAAAGGGUACGCCAAUAGGGUGACCCUUCUUGCUGACCUCAUUACCCACCCCAACCAAUCCGCCUUCAUCCAAGACCGAUAUAUCUUGGAUGGGGUGCUCGUUUUCACAAAGUCCUACACGAGGUCUGAUCCAAACUCCUCAAGGAGGUCUUCCUAAAGAUUGAUUUCCAUAAGGUCUAAGACACUAUUAGUUGGCCCUUCAUUCAAGAAGUCCUGCUCCGGAAAGGCUUCGACGAACGUUGGAUUACCAGAGUGA
rnacentral:rRNA from 1 species